ACAGUAUUAAUAAUUACUGUUAUUGAUUUUAUAUUUGCGGUAUUUUAUAUUUGCCAGUGGAUAAGCAUAGAUGGUUUUGUUGUGAAAAACAUGUUUUUUAUAUUUUCAGAUUGCCCCUACCAUAUUGGUCGUGACUCCUUCGAAAUAAGGAGUUACGGGAAGGAGAGGAUGAGAAAGGGCAUUAAAGAAGUCCUUGUUGAUUGGCAGCCUUGCCCAGUUUGUGGGAAGGAGUGGGCCAGGUCCUGGCAGCCAAAAGAUUUGAAUUAGUCCCCCUGCCCUCUUCAAAUAAAAACAUAUUUUCAGUCUUUCUAGAAUGUGGUGCUACUCCUGAUACAUGAUUGCCCUGCCAUUCAAAUGUGGUCACUAAG